UUUUAAUAUGAGAUCUCAGACCUUAUGUAACGAGAUGAACAUCUCAAUUACAUCUCAAAUGGAGAUUUUUGCUUAAUUCUACUGCUUCUCAGAUUUCAGUCCUGAGAAAAAGAUCCUAAUAUUUUCAUGUUCUUUUUUAGACUUUCAGAAGAGAUCUCAACAGUGUCUCAAAAUGUGCUCAAAAUUGCCAACCCACACUAGUGAGAAAUUCAUUGAGAUCUCAGACUUCAUAAAAUGUGGCCAGAUCCUGCUUGAAAAGUGUAAAGCAGCAGAGAUGCAGCCGACAUAUGGAGAUGACGGAACACUCCCGACUCCAAGACGGCAGAGGAAGAUGGAGAGAAGCUCAAAGAGAGCAGGUCUGGGCAGGCAGCGAUGGUGAUGCGUCAGCGGCGCUCCGGUAUGGGAGGGUGAUGUGUGUGUUAGUCUCCUGGGUGCCAUGUUUCUGUCACCCCUUGUCUGAGUGAGUCACGACUGGGUUCUGGUAAGGACCGUCACACAGCCGUUACCGCACUUCCUUCCAGCUUCCAUUAAGAACUCACUCACAUCUUGCCCCAAAAACCAACCCAGUUCACCUCAAAAUCCAAUAUCACAACGAUAGAAUCUCCCUGACUGCAUUUUAAAAAGGCAACGCUAUUUUACAGUAGUGUCAAAAACUCAAUAAAAGAACAUUUUUUUUCUGGGAGGCCUUGAAU
ensembl:lncRNA